CCCUUAGAUGUUCUGGGCGGCCCGCGCACUACAAUGGCGUUUGCAGCGAGUUUCUGUUUUGAAUUUGUUCGGGUAUUCUUGGAAACGGCGUCGUGACAGGGAUAAAUCCUUGCAAUUGUUGGUUUUUAACGAGGAAUUCCUUGUAAGCGUGGUUUAUCAUCCCACGUUGAAUGCGUCCCUGCCCUUUGUACACACCGCCCGUCGCUCCUACCGAUGAAUUGUCCGGUGAAGUUCAUGGAGAGCUGUUUCACUGAGAUGUGCUUAAAGCGAGAUGAACCUAGCGGUUUAGAGGAAGGAGAANUCGUAACA
rnacentral:rRNA from 1 species